rnacentral:misc_RNA from 1 species
GAUGAAGAACGUAGCGAAAUGCGAUAAGUAAUGUGAAUUGCAGAAUUCAGUGAAUCAUCGAAUCUUUGAACGCACAUUGCGCCCGCCAGUAUUCUGGCGGGCAUGCCUGUUCGAGCGUCAUUCCAACCAUCAAGCCCCAGGCUUGUGUUGGGGACCUGCGGCUGCCGCAGGCCCUGAAAACCAGUGGCGGGCUCGCUGUCACACCGGGCGUAGUAGAUUUUAUCUCGCUCAGGGCGUGCUGCGGGUUCCGGCCGUUAAAAAGCCUUUUUUACCCAAGGUUGACCUCGGAUCAGGUAGGAAGACCCGCUGAACUUAAGCAUAUCAAUAAGCGGAGGA